CCCGCCCCCCCAGGUGCAGCUUGGCCCGGUCGGUCCCCNCUCGGCGGGCUGCUGGGCGCUGGGGUUAUUUAAAACAGCGAGCGGAGAGCAAGGGCAGAGUGAUGCAAUCCUUUAAGCAUGGCUGGGAAUGCUGUGUACAUGAUGCAAUCUCGUGUAACUGUCAGUCAUGAAUUGAGUAAUCUGUUAAAGAUGUUCCUACAGUUUUUUUUAUUAUAAAGAAUAAUCUAUUUCUAUAAGAAAAUACAUAUGUAUAUUUUGGGAUCUAUGCAUUCUUGCUACAUUUGAAGCAUUAAUGAACAAUUUUAAUAAACUUUAUGACUAGGUUAAAAUGUAGCUUGUUUUAUUUGGAGGGCACGUUUAAAGGUAGGUUAAAGGCAGAGCUGAAAAUCUAGCUGAAUCUGGCCCAAUGCUGAGAUCCGGGACCAGGAUUUUUGUCGGUCUUUUGACUUUCGCUGUGACUCAGCAAAAAAAAAAAAAAAGAAAGAAAAAGGCGAAAAAACAAAAAAAUCCAAGAGAAACCCAGUACAGAGCAGAGCUGGGAACUUUAGCCAGUUCUUUCUUUUUGCCUCUUUUUAUUUCCUCUUACCACUUGCCUUAGCUGCUGCUUGGGUGUUGUUUGGGGAGGAGGUGUUUGUUUUGGGCUUUUUGCAAUUCUCCCUGUUCUCGAUGUGUAGAGUGAGAUACGCUGUCCAAACCAUGACCAGUAUUUGGCAGAGUAACUCCAAGUCCGAAGUGGGAGGGAGGAAGAAAAAAGCAAGGAAGGAAGCUUGAAAUGAUUUUUUUCCCCUUGAGGAGUGUCUGUUCUCCAMGUUACGAUUCAGCAUUUCUUAUGUUUGUAGUUUUCAGGAAUAAACAUGAGAACAUAGCAAUUCUGUUGGAUGUCGGUAAUUUGGUGGUUGCUCGGGAAGCUCACGUGAAACCCAGGCAGAGCCUGUGUUCUGCUGAAGGAACUGUUCUGCAUUUUUGACACUUAAGAUCAUAUCAUCCUCCGACAGAUUUCUCAUUCUGGAGGGAACUUGUGCAGCACUGUGCUUUUGUCGGAAAGAUGCAAUUACAGACAGGAAAACUGAGGACAUAAAUGCACCAAUUUUACUCUAGUCUCACAAAGAAUUUGUGAACAAUUCASAAAGAGAAUUCCUGAAUCCGUCCUUCUUAAUCUUGUGUUAGCCACAUAACUUACAUUUCAGGAACUUUGUAGCAGUUUUACAUGCAUAGAGGUCACAAAAUACCCUACUUUAAAAACAAGCAUACAAAAAAACCCCUUGCAAUUAAAAUAUUUUCUAGAAAAAAACAGUUUGGAAAUGAAUCUGAGAAAACUCCA
rnacentral:lncRNA from 1 species